rnacentral:rRNA from 1 species
AGGGAAUUUUCCACAAUGGACGAAAGUCUGAUGGAGCAACGCCGCGUGCAGGAUGAAUGCCUUCGGGUUGUAAACUGCUUUUAUAUGUGACGAUUAUGACGGUAGCAUAUGAAUAAGGAUCGGCUAAUUCCGUGCCAGCAGCCGCGGUCAUACGGAAGAUCCAAGCGUUAUCCGGAAUUACUGGGCGUAAAGAGUUGCGUAGGUGGCAUAGUAAGUAGAUAGUGAAAUCCUGGGGCUCAACCCUUUAAACAUUAUCUAAACUGCUAAGCUAGAGGGCGAGAGAGGUUACUAGAAUUCCUUGUGUAGGAGUGAAAUCCGUAGAUAUAAGGAGGAAUACCGAUGGCGUAGGCAGGUAACUGGCUCGUCCCUGACACUAAGGCACGAAAGCGUGGGGAGCGAC